CAGUCGCCGCGGGAAUACAGAGGGUGCAAGCGUUAAUCGGAAUUACUGGGCGUAAAGCGUGCGUAGACGGUUACAUAAGUCGGGUGUGAAAGCCCCGGGCUCAACCUGGGAAUUGCAUUCGAGACUGCGUAGCUAGGGUACGGAAGAGGGAGGCGGAAUUUCAGGUGUAGCGGUGAAAUGCGUAGAUAUCUGAAGGAACACCAGUGGCGAAAGCGGCCUCCUGGUCCAGUACCGACGUUCAGGCACGAAAGCGUGGGGAGCAAACAGGAUUAGAUACCCCCGUAGUCCCUGUCUCUUAUAC
rnacentral:rRNA from 1 species